rnacentral:rRNA from 1 species
AUUCCAGCUCCAAUAGCGUAUAUUAAAGUUGUUGCGGUUAAAAAGCUCGUAGUUGGAUCUCGGCGGGCAGGGGGUGGUUCGCUCUUCAGCGCUACUGCCCCGCUUUGCCCGUGUGAUUGGCGGAGGUUUCGGGGUGCUCUUCGUUGAGUGACUCGGAGCGCCGUCAGGUUUACUUUGAAAAAAUUAGAGUGCUCAAAGCAGGCUUUUCACGCUUGAAUAUUCGUGCAUGGAAUAAUGGAAUAGGAACUCGUUUCUAUUUUGUUGGUUUUCGGAAAUCGAGUUAAUGAUUAACAGGGACAGUCAGGGGCACUCGUAUUCCGCCGAGAGAGGUGAAAUUCUUAGACCAGCGGAAGACGAACCACUGCGAAAGCAUUUGCCAGGGAUGUUUUCAUCA